CGUAUCACUUAAACUGAUUAAGUGAUACUCAAAUGUAUCAAAACGAUUGACGGAGCGAAGCGACGUCAAUGCGUCCAACAAAGUCGAGGCGGAAACGUCAGGCAGUCAGUUUAAGGAUACGUUCGUUGGGUAGGGGAGCGUUCUGUAAGCCUGUGAAGGUGUGCUGUGAGGCAUGCUGGAGGUAUCAGAAGUGCGAAUGCUGACAUAAGUAACGAUAAUGCGGGUGAAAAACCCGCACGCCGGAAGACCAAGGGUUCCUGUCCAACGUUAAUCGGGGCAGGGUGAGUCGACCCCUAAGGCGAGGCAGAAAUGCGUAGUCGAUGGGAAACGGGUUAAUAUUCCCGUACUGGUGAUAAUUGCGAUGGGGGGACGGAGAAGGCUAGGCUAUCCGGGCGACGGUUGUCCCGGUUUAAGGAUGUAGGCAGGUGAA
rnacentral:rRNA from 1 species